CACAGCACACAACAUCAAAUACCAAAAAUGACCCCAACCUCCUAGAAAAAUACUGAGCUAUACUAUAAUUAUAGAAAAACUAAUGCUAGAACUAGUAACAAGAAAAUUUCUCUAGGCACCCCUGUAACCCAGAAAUAGAAAAUCUGCUGGACUUUAACCAGACCACAGCAGGCACCACACAACCAAGUGUACCACUAACUGUUAAACCAACACCGGAGUGCCCCCAAGACAGAUUAAAAGUUAUUUAAGGAACUCAGCAAAACUUGUCCCAACUGUUUACCAAAAACAUAGCCUUUAGCCUUAUAAGUAUUAAAGGUAUCGCCUGCCCAGUGAAAUUUUUAACGGCCGCGGUAUUCUAACCGUGCAAAGGUAGCGUAAUCACU
rnacentral:rRNA from 1 species